UACGUAGGGACCGAGCGUUGUCCGGAAUCAUUGGGCGUAAAGGGCGCGUAGGCGGCUUUGCAAGUGACGGGUGAAAUCCCUCGGCUUAACCGAGGAACUGCCUGUCAAACUGCAUGGCUUGAGACCGGGAGAGGUGAGUGGAAUUCCCAGUGUAGCGGUGAAAUGCGUAGAUAUUGGGAGGAACACCAGUGGCGAAGGCGGCUCACUGGACCGGUACUGACGCUGAUGCGCGAAAGCGUGGGGAGCAAACAGG
rnacentral:rRNA from 1 species